rnacentral:rRNA from 1 species
UACGUAGGGUGCAAGCGUUGUUCGGAAUUACUGGGCGUAAAGGGCGAGUAGGCGGCCUUCUAAGUCAGACGUGAAAUCCCCCGGCUUAACCUGGGGAACUGCGUCUGAUACUGGGAGGCUUGAGUAUGGGAGAGGGAUGUAGAAUUCCAGGUGUAGCGGUGAAAUGCGUAGAUAUCAGGAGGAACACCUGUGGUGUAGACAGCUUACUGGACCAUUUCUGACGCUGAGACACGAAAGCGUGGGUAGCAAACAGG